CUAUGCUACACGGGGAGCUAGCGGUGCCCUGUACCUGCAACCCGCUAUAGCAGGGUGGAUGGCCGGACUGAGGGCUUUUGUCCGGAUUAUCUCCUGGUGAUUUUCGGGCGAUGACGUUCUCAGACCUGUACAAUAGAGAGUUGAUGAACCCCGUCAGGCCCGGGAGGGAGCAGCGGUAGUCAAUUUCUCUAUGUGUUGCAGGUAUCUGGGAACCAGCCGCAGGAUCACCUGGGGGUAAUUCUGGAAGGCUCGAGGUCUGGCUGCAUAG
rnacentral:SRP_RNA from 1 species